ACGGAAGGUAGGGGACGGACGUCGAAGUCAGCAUGACCUUUAUAUCCAGGGCUACACACACGCUACAAUGGUCAGUACAAUGGGUUGCCAAGCCGCGAGGCGGAGCCAAUCCUAAAAAAGCUGGCCUCAGUUCAGAUUGCAGUCUGAAACUCGACUGCAUGAAGUCGGAGUUGCUAGUAAACGCAGGUCAGCUAUACUGCGUUGAAUACGUUCCCGGGGCUU
rnacentral:rRNA from 1 species